AGUGAACGCUGGCGGUAGGCCUAACACAUGCAAGUCGAACGGCAGCACAGUAAGAGCUUGCUCUUACGGGUGGCGAGUGGCGGACGGGUGAGGAAUACAUCGGAAUCUACUUUUUCGUGGGGGGUAACGUAGGGAAACUUACGCUAAUACCGCAUACGACCUACGGGUGAAAGCAGGGGAUCUUCGGACCUUGCGCGAUUGAAUGAGCCGAUGUCGGAUUAGCUAGUUGGCGGGGUAUAGGCCCACCAAGGCGACGAUCCGUAGCUGGUCUGAGAGGAUGAUCAGCCACACUGGAACUGAGACACGGUCCAGACUCCUACGGGAGGCAGCAGUGGGGAAUAUUGGACAAUGGGCGCAAGCCUGAUCCAGCCAUACCGCGUGGGUGAAGAAGGCCUUCGGGUUGUAAAGCCCUUUUGUUGGGAAAGAAAAGCAGCAGGUUAAUACCCCGCUGUUCUGACGGUACCCAAAGAAUAAGCACCGGCUAACUUCGUG
rnacentral:rRNA from 1 species